AUGUUCUACACCAACUAUGACUUGGACUAUGGCGGUGUGUCGAUCAUGGAGUAUGACUUGUCAAGGCACGCCUUGAAUGUGUUUACUUUUAGGCCACCAGACGGCUGCAUAUAUAACCUUGUGCUGGCGGAGGACGACGGUGGACUGGGCAUAAUCCAAGGCUUGGAUCCGCAGCUCAAAUUGUGGACAAGAGAGGCGAGUGAUGGCACUGAUGCGCAAUGGGUGCUGAAUCGGGUCAUCGACCUGGGCAAUUUGCUGCCAACUAGUGCUCGAUUGAAUGAAGAUUAUAGAGUGCAUGUAAUGGGCUUCGCUGAGGGGGCAAAUGCCAUUUUCGUCAACACAGUUGAUGGUGUCUUCACAAUUGAGCUACAGUCGGAUCAUGCGAGGAAGGUGUGCAGUGAUCAUGGCUUCGUUAAUUUGAUCCCGGUUGUCAGCUUCUACACUCCUGUACCCCGAGGCCAGCAGCAGAACCUGCUGGCGUCGAAGCCUAGCGAGGAGGGGGGAGAGGAGGAUAAAACAGUAGAUCGCGCACAACGGCUGUUGAGCAAGGGGUCCAAUGCUAUGAAGGAAGGGGACUUUGUCAACACAUUCGAAUGCGUCAGCAACAACCACAAUAUCAGGGUUCCUUGUUAUGGAGAAGGUGCUCUGGAGAGUGCUAACAUGCUCAACAAACAAGGAUAUGCCUUGCUACCGAAAGUUUCUUCGGGUGAUAUUCCCAAGAGUGCACCAAAUGAAGAAUCGGUGAAGGGUACAACGAGCAAAGAUGAUGGCGUGAGCUCGACGACCUCUCAUAGCAAUGUUGAGGGUGCUCCAGCUUCAGAGAAAGAGAGGAUAUUGAAAUAA
rnacentral:rRNA from 1 species